rnacentral:rRNA from 1 species
AGAGCGAACGCUGGCGGCAGGCCUAACACAUGCAAGUCGAACGCCCCGCAAGGGGAGUGGCAGACGGGUGAGUAACGCGUGGGAACAUACCCUUCGGUUCGGAAUAACUCAGGGAAACUUGGGCUAAUACCGGAUACGUCCGUGAGGAGAAAGAUUCAUCGCCGAAGGAUUGGCCCGCGUAAGAUUAGCUAGUUGGUGAGGUAACGGCUCACCAAGGCUGUGAUCUUUAGCUGGUCUGAGAGGACGAUCAGCCACACUGGGACUGAGACACGGCCCAGACUCCUACGGGAGCAGCAGUGGGGAAUAUUGGACAAUGGGCGCAAGCCUGAUCCAGCCAUGCCGCGUGAGUGAUGAAGGCCUUAGGGUUGUAAAGCUCUUUCAGCGGGACGAUAAUGACGGUACCGCGAGAAGAACGCCCGGCUAACUCGUGCCAGCCAGCCGC